rnacentral:rRNA from 1 species
GUUGUAUAGUCAAGUAAUUAAGUGCAUGUGGUGGAUGCCUUGGCAGUCAGAGGCGAUGAAAGACGUGAUAGCCUGCGAAAAGCUCCGGGGAGGCGGCAAAUAUCCUUUGAUCCGGAGAUGUCUGAAUGGGGGAACCCACCUACUUUAAGGUAGGUAUUGCAACAUGAAUACAUAGUGUUGCAAGGCGAACGAGGGGAAGUGAAACAUCUCAGUACCCUUAGGAAAAGAAAUCAAUUGAGAUUCCCUCAGUAGCGGCGAGCGAACGGGGAUCAGCCCAUUAAGUUAUGUGUGUUUUAGUGGAACGCUCUGGGAAGUGCGAACGUAGAGGGUGAUAUUCCCGUACACGAAAGGGCACACAUAAUGAUGACGAGUAGGGCGAGGCACGUGAAACCUUGUCUGAAUAUGGGGGGACCAUCCUCCAAGGCUAAAUACUCCUGACUGACCGAUAGUGAACCAGUACCGUGAGGGAAAGGCGAAAAGAACCCCUGUGAGGGGAGUGAAAUAGAUCCUGAAACCGCAUGCAUACAAGCAGUGGGAGCACCUUCGUGGUGUGACUGCGUACCUUUUGUAUAAUGGGUCAGCGACUUAUAUUCAGUAGCGAGGUUAACCGUAUAGGGGAGCCGUAGAGAAAUCGAGUCUUAAUAGGGCGUUUAGUUGCUGGGUAUAGACCCGAAACCAGGCGAUCUAUCCAUGAGCAGGUUGAAGGUUGGGUAACACUAACUGGAGGACCGAACCCACUGUCGUUGAAAAGCCAGGGGAUGACUUGUGGAUAGGGGUGAAAGGCUAAUCAAGCCUGGUGAUAGCUGGUUCUCCCCGAAAGCUAUUUAGGUAGCGCCUCGGACGAAUACCAUAGGGGGUAGAGCACUGUUUCGGCU